AUCCCCACCGCCACGACCACACAAAUGGACUCAGCGAAGGUGAGUUUCGUCACUAUAGUGAGACUGUACUGACCACCAAACCGUUUAUAUGAAUACUUGGAUUGAGUUCAGAAUCUAUGUGUAUUAAGCUCUCUGUUUGUUGGAUUGUUAUGUCUAUAAGUGUAUUAAGCUCUCUGUUUUGUUGGAAUUGUUAUGGAUUAAAGUUUCAGAACUGAGUGGGAUAAAUUUGAUUACUUUUUCAAUCUUUGUGACCCUUACGAUGGAGCACCACCAUUGAGUACAAAAAAUGCAACGAGGUACUGAUUACGGAAGUGACGCUCUGUGCCAUUGCAAAACAUAAUCACGAUAAUGUCAGUGUUUCAUUAUACACUGCUCUCAAACAUUUUGGAAUUGACUACUGUAUAUGUACUUGUAUUGAUAAUGUUCAGGGAACAAACCUUGUGUUUGUUAAGCACGUCUUGGCGAAUUCCCAGUAUAUUAAUUGUUUGAUACACUUGCUCACAUUCUAGGCUAGAGAUAUGUCUUCCCCUUGUCCUGAGUCUAAACUUUAUCAAGUUAAAAUCUUGUAGUUCAAUUCAUAAUCACAAUUUUAGAGUCAAACCUACAGACGAAGGUGACUUCAUUCUUUAGUUUCUUUUGACCUUUGUAUGCUUUUACUAUCUGAGCUUGCUUAUGAACUUUGCAGUCACCAAGAUUACAUCUCAUGGCUCAAAUAAUUGAUGAACUAGGCAGCAAUAGACUGAUCUCUUUCCAUACUUGGUUUAUAAGCAUAUCAAUAUAUAAUCGUAAUUAGUUUCUAAAGACAGUUAAUUAUGUGUGUAUUGGGUAUGAUGCUAAUAAGUUUCAUCUUCUUUGUCUUGAUGUGUACGUAUAUGAUGCAGACAUGAUGGAAGCUCAUGUCCUCCCUUUCAGAUUAUGAAUUAUGAAAUCGAUGCUUUGUGGGAGGAUGUGUGUAAUACACUUUGUUUAUUGUUUUUUUUGCUUGUGAAGGCUUUCCUGAAAUUCAAGAAAUCCUUCAUAAAUAUUUGAGAAUCUUUUUUAAUUUUCAAGGCUUAUGUGACUGCUUGGAUUCUAUCUCUUAACAUGUUGGGUGAAUUUUUUUGCUCAUGCUGGUGACAUAGUCUUGGAAGUGGCAGGAAACACAGAGAUGCGGGUAAAGCAAGCAAAAACUGAACUUGUGUCAGCAAGUAAACUGAACAUAAUUAAUAGUUCGAAUGACUCCAAUAGAUUUCCACAACGAUCAGAAACUCUCAACAACUUAGACAACAUGAGCUUUAGAUUGUAAGGUAGCUGGUUCAAAGGGAUCUUAACACUGCCAAACCCUCCACCAGUACAGAGAUAGGGAACAAAGAGGAAGAUGCAAACCAUAUAAUAACAAAUCAGAAAAACAUAGCAGUGACUCUGAUGUUUUACUAUUUCAAUAGCAACUGUGCUGAUCCAACCAACAUCACAAUGCAUUCACUUCACUGUAUAUCCUCCACCUAUCCAAAUAUUAUUCAUUGUACCCAUUACUUUGUACCACCAUUGGAAACCAUUUAUGUCUUUUUCAUCAUAACGUGUUAAUUAGUUCA